CUCUUUUCUCCUUUCUUCUCUACCAAACCCUACGAAAGAAGGUUUUCUCUCAACAUUUCUUCCCUUUCUUCCUUUCUCAAUCUCAUCACUUUCUAAUCUCCCCUUGGCUUCCAGUCAAAACCUUCAUAUUCCCCACCUUCACCAUCGCCGCUGUGAAAUCCACCUUCCAGAGGCUCCGACUACUCCGAUACUGUCUCACCGUCGCUGCCGUCAAUGGGUCAUCUUCCAUCGCACUUAGAUGCUUGGCUACGGAUGGGCUGGAAUAUUUAGAAAAGUCCUUGUGGAUUCUCCAUACAUGUGGUGGCCAGCAAAUUUGGUUCAAGUUUCUCUUUUCAGGGCAUUGCAUGAGAAAGAGAAGAGGCCAAGAGGAGGACAUACAAGGCUCAAAAUUCUGCUACCUGUUGGUGUUUAUUGAGCUGUGUUGCCUGCUGUUAGGGUGAGUGUGCAGUGACUACGAUAUGGAGUAGGUGCUACAGUUAUAAUAGGUAUGACUGAUUCAACAUGAGCAUUAAAAUUUAUAGUUAUGGGUAAGUUGUUCAAUCUGAACUAUUACAUUGGAACCUGGCUAGCUAGGAGCUAGUUAUAGGUGUUGUGGAAUAGAAAAAGAAAAGCAAGAUAGUUUGUUUUUGAGAUAAUCUUGCUACAUUUUUUCAUGCUUUUUUCUAUAAAUAUUUAUUCUAAGCAAGAUAGUUUGUUUUUGAGAUAA